GUCUUGUAUAAGGAUUGAACACUGAUGCACACCUAAAUAAUACAACUUUCAACAAUGGAUCUCUUGGUUCUGGCAUCGAUGAAGAACGCAGCGAAAUGCGAUAAGUAGUGUGAAUUGCAGAAUUCAGUGAAUCAUCGAAUCUUUGAACGCACAUUGCGCCCCUUGGUAUUCCAUGGGGCAUGCCUGUUCGAGCGUCAUCUAAACCCUCAAGCCCCUCGGCUUGGUGUUGGGUGUUUGUCCUUGCUCCCAGAGUGGACUCGCCCUAAAUGCAUUGGCAGCGUCCCCCUAGCCGUACGCGCAGCACAUUGCGCAGUGGGGCAUGGCGUGGUGCGCUUCCAGCAAGUGAACCCCCAAGUUUGACCUCGGAUCAGGUAGGGAUACCCGCUGAACUUAAGCAUAUCAAUAAGCGGAGGAAGGAUCAUUACAAGAACCAAGGCUAGUCGCGCCUAAUUCGGGCUUCGUGCCCGCUAUAGGCUGC
rnacentral:rRNA from 1 species